rnacentral:rRNA from 1 species
AAAUGAAUAGACGGGUACCCGCACAAGCAGCGAGGCAUGUGGUUUAAUUCGAGGCUACACGAAGAACCUUACCUGGGCUUGACAUGUUGCUGAAAGAUCUAAGAAACUAGAUCCCUUUUCAUAGCAAUAUGAAAACAGUUUCACAGGUGGUGCAUGGUUGUCGUCAGCUCGUGCCGUGAGGUGUAAGGUUAAGUCCUUGAACGAGCGCAACCCACGUCGUUAUUUGCCACGGAGCAAUCCAGCUACUAUAACGAUACCGCCGGCGACGAGCCGGAGGAAGGCGUGGACGACGUCAAAUCAUCACGCCCCUUAUGUCCAGGGCUACACACAUGCGACAAUGGUCGGAACAAUGAGUUGCCAAGCAGUAAUGCGGAGCUAAUCUCCAAAGCCGGCCUCAGUACAGAUCGAGGGUUGCAACCCACCCUCGUGAAGAUGGAGUUGCUAGUAAACGCAAGUCAGCCAUAUUGCGUUGAAUACGUUCCCGGGUAUUGUACACACCGCCCGU